rnacentral:lncRNA from 9 species
AGGAGGAGUCCGGAGCAGGGAGCGGAGAGUGACAGGCGACGCUGUCCAAUAACAGGAGGGGUUGGGCUGCCUGAGCCAAUAGAAAGUCCGUAAGGCGGGACGAGGACUGCAGCAAGUUCGGUUGCGCGGAGACCGCAGCUGUUCCCUGUCAGUGGAGGCAGCGGCUGUAGAGGCGGUGGCGACGACUUGCGGCGGCAGCGAGGAGGUAGCACCUGCCUUCCGAGAGCUGACAGAACGCUGAGGGCAGGCCAGCUGCUACCCCCGGUUCACAGCCAGGUGCCCUGGGAACUGUGUGGCUCGGGGACAACUGCCCAGAGCUCAGGUCCAGUGCUCAGCAUGAGGACUCCUUUGUUUGGGGAUUUUUCUCGGGUGACCCCUCCGGAGCCAGAAGCCGUUUUCCUCUCCGAGAUGUUCCAUCGCCCUUGCUUGUCCCAGGUCUUGGGCCAGCAGUGGCCGUCUUCCACUCUGGGAGCCAGAGAAGCAGGAGGGGGCUGGGAUGCCAAGGCCGCUCGCGUACGUUUCCACCAGCUGUAUGUGGAAUGGGGCCAGACUCCACAUGUGGCAGCUCCUCUCCUGACCGACAUCCGUCCCCGCCUGAGGCCUCGGGAAAAUUCCAUGAUGUGGCUGUGCUGAGUCAUGCUUAGUGUCUGAGGAUCCGUAUGUCACCUUUCGCGUGUCUGUCACUGGUCAGCCCUGGGUCUGGGAAAGGCUGCAGCUUCCACAGCAGCCGUGAUAUCCUGCUGCUGAUCCUUUCUGUUUACCCACUGCUGUGUGCCUCUCCCGAGUGCUUUGACUGCUGUGCCGUUUAUCAGUAUAUCAUUGAUUAAUAUUAAAUACUAAGUGGAUUACUUAUUCUGGAAAAUAUUCUUCUCAUGAAUGAAGAAACUGAGGUUUGGAGAGACUAAGUGACUUGGAGAAUUUUGGGUGACUGGCGAGUGGCAAGUCUGGGUGAGAUUUUUGAUGAUAUCUCACUCCCACACACCCCCCCUUGUGGUUUCUUGUGUAAUGCAAAGAUUAUUCAGAAGAUACUUUGGUUGAAAAAAAUGAUUUUCAAUUUGUUCAAGUUACAAACUCAAAAAAAAACUCACUCUUUAAGGGCUAGACUUUUCCAUUUAGCUUUUAAGUAUAGCCUACAAAUCUUUUCUGUUCUUUUUUUUUUUUUUUCUCUUUUUGAUUCUAGAAAAUUUUAACAAUCACUUUAAGGGGCCCUUUGGUUAAUACUGAUCCAUUUGCAAGAUUAACUCAUUGGAAAAUUCCAGAUCGAGUUUAUGAAUGACGUUCAACUUCCUUUAAUUAAUACUUGCAAGUGUCUGAUUAACAAAAUCUUUAAUACUUCAGUAUUCCUGUAAAUCUAAUAAUUUAAAUGGACUCAGUUUUUCUUAAGCAUUCCUGUGUUGUUUUAUGUUUUAUUAUUGACGCAGCUUUAUUGAGGUAUUUUUGACAGAAUAAACUGCACAUAUUUUAAGUGUAUGCUUUAUGUUUUGACAUAUGCAUAUACUUGUGAAAUCAUAACUGCAAUUAGGACAGUGAUUAUCCCAAAGCAUCCCCACGCCCCUGGGCAAUCCCUCCCUCCCUCAUGCCCCUUGGCAAUUCCUCUUUGCCUCCCUCACCCACAUGCAACCCUGAACUGUUUUCUGUUACUAUAGAUUAGGUUGCAAUUUCUGGAAUUUUCCAGAAGCGGAAUCAUGUAGUGUGCAUUCCUUUUUGGUCUGGCUUCAUUUACUCGGCAUAAUUAUUUUGGAAUUUGUCCAUAUUGUGUGUACCAAUAGUUCCUUUCAUUGCUGAGUAAUAUUCCAUUAGCGGAAAUUCCACAAGUUGUUUCUCCACUCACCUUUUGUUGGUCAUUUUCGUUGUUUCCAGUUUUUGGCGAUUCUAAAUAAAGGUGCUCUGAGCCUCUGUGUAC